UGCGAGUCUUUGUAGCAAUACAAGGCAUACGGCUCAGUAACACGUAGUCAAUCUACCCUAUGGACGGGAAUAACCUCGGGAAACUGAGAAUAAUGCCCGAUAGAUCAUUUUGCCUGGAAUGGUUUAUGAUCCAAAUGAGCAAUCGCCAUAGGAUGGGACUGCGGCCUAUCAGUUUGUUGGUGGGGUAAUGGCCCACCAAGACUAUUACAGGUACGGGCUCUGAGAGGAGAAGCCCGGAGAUGGGUACUGAGACACGGACCCAGGCCCUAUGGGGCGCAGCAGGCGAGAAAACUUUGCAAUGUGCGAAAGCACGACAAGGUUAAUCCGAGUGAUUCCUGAUAAAGGAAUCUUUUGUCAGUCCUAAAAACACUGACGAAUAAGGGGUGGGCAAGUUCUGGUGUCAGCCGCCGCGGUAAGACCAGCACCUCA
rnacentral:rRNA from 1 species